UUGACCUCGGAUCAGGCAGGGAUACCCGCUGAACUUAAGCAUAUCAAUAAGCGGAGGAAAAGAAACCAACAGGGAUUGCCUCAGUAACGGCGAGUGAAGCGGCAACAGCUCAAAUUUGAAAUCUGGCUCUUUUAGGGUCCGAGUUGUAAUUUGUAGAGGAUGCUUCGGCGUCGGCUCCGGUCUAAGUUCCUUGGAACAGGACGUCAUAGAGGGUGAGAAUCCCGUAUGUGAUCGGUUGCCCUUGCCAUGUGAAGCUCCUUCGACGAGUCGAGUUGUUUGGGAAUGCAGCUCUAAAUGGGAGGUAAAUUUCUUCUAAAGCUAAAUACUGGCCAGAGACCGAUAGCGCACAAGUAGAGUGAUCGAAAGAUGAAAAGCACUUUGGAAAGAGAGUCAAAAAGUACGUGAAAUUGUGAAAGGGAAGCGCUUGCACCAGACCUGCCUGCAGUGCUCAUCCGGGCUUUUGCCCGGUGCACUCUUCUGCUGU
rnacentral:rRNA from 1 species